AAAACAUUGAAGCUGUCAGGAACAGAGUCGGCUUUCAAGAUUGGAAUGUCAAAGUAGAGUCUUCUUUUCCUCAGACCAGAAGGGGCUUGGUUGGGUAAGAGUUUCCAGAUCUAAAUGGAGACAGGACUGGGAUAUAGGAGCUUGUACGGAUAAACAACACAAACACCUUGGUUGAAGAAACCGAAGCACAAAGAAUAACUUGUCCAAGAUCACAGAGUUUAGGAAGUAAGGAAGCAGGGCUUUGAGCUUUGCAUCAAGUGAUGACCCAUAAAUGCAAAUGGAAUACAACAGGAGUGGGUCCCUAAAGUCCCACCCAGAGAAUGCCCUUCUGCCAAAAAAUUUCGGAUUGAAACAGCAAAAACACCUAAGCAACUGAUAGUCAGGUAUUUCUUUGGAGGCCAAGUCACAUGGGAACCUCUUUGUCCACCUUCCCUCUCAGGGCCCAAAUAUCCCUCUCCAAAGAUUCAGAAGCAAAAUGGGAG
rnacentral:lncRNA from 10 species